rnacentral:lncRNA from 1 species
AUUUUUUUCAAAUCGUUAUGUGUUGCAUCAUUGCUAUUUUUAACUUGUUUUGUAAAAACAGAUUGAAAUUUUAAUAUUUUUUAUGUGUAAAAGUUAUAAUAUUAAAAUAUUUAUUUAUGAUAUAUAUAUGUUAAUAUGGUUAGUUGUUCAUGUUUUACUUAGCCAUGACAUUGAUCAACAGAAAUUGAAUAAAGAAUAUGAAAAAGUCAUGUCAAACAUUUUAAAUGAACUUUGCAUCAAUCUCUUUCUAUGUAAUGAGCUUUACAUCAAUCUCUUUCUAUGUACAAAGAAAAUAUUUAAAUGUUAAAAUCCCUCAAAACGUAUUUAAAAAAAAUUGUGAUUUUUUAUUAAAAAUUCAGCAGUAAUAAAUUUUUGGUAUCCAGUUGGUCAUUUUAGUUGCUAACUCUAUUAAAAUGUGAUUUUGGAUUACAUUUAGAAAGAAGGAAAAAAAAGAGAAUUUAAAGACAACUGUAUGUAAAAUAAGAAUUGUCUCAAAGCUGUCUCAGUUUGGUUUUAUAAUGACUUGUGGGAAACCAGUUGUUCUUUAUUUUAAUAGAUACACUAGUUCAAGGUCAUAUACAAAUUUGAAAAACAUUUACCCUGUCUUAAAUACUUUAAUAUUUUAAAACGAUGUUGUUUUAAUCAAUGAAAUUAAAGGAUAAACUGUUUAGAUGCAAGAAAACAGCAUAGACUGUAUAGUCCAUUGUGAUAUACAGUCACUGACUGUUAAUUGCCUUUUUCUGACGUUCACAAUGUGUUUCUGUAGUCUUAAAAAUGAAUAAUAAAAUGCAAUUGACAGUACACAGAGUUUUUAUACAAUUACUUAAUUAUAAUUUAAGUCCUUUUAAAAUUUAGUUUUUCAUAACAUUAGAUGCCUAUAUUUUUUUUUAUCAGAUUUCAAUUGAAUGGUUUCAUUACACUGUCAACAGUUAAGCAUGGUUUAACAACAAUGACGAAAAAGUAAUCUCAUAGUAGACAAAAAUAUAAAUUAAUGUAACUUUGUUAUGGUGAUCUCAGUAGUGAUAUUUUGUUAGGAUUUUGACAUUUUGUAUGGUAAUGAUAUUUUUUUUUAUGUGGAUUCAUUUAUUUUUCGUGUGUACCAAUUUUCAUGGAUUGCGGAAAACUGCCAUUUUCAUGGAUUUUUGAUUUUUCGUGGUUUUCCAAAAGUCUGCAUAUAACCACAGAGCAAAUUUGUAAUUUAUUGAACAUUACACUUUGAGGUUUCCAUGUACCCACUAGUUCCACGAACAUUAGUAUCCAAUGAAUAAUAACUUUAGAGUUGAGACAUUGUGCAUGUUUUUAUUGAUUUGACCAUGUCCAUGUUAUUGACACAGUGUGCAUGUUUAUGUUAGAGUUGAGACAUUGUGCAUGUUUUUAUUGAUUUGACCAUGUCCAUGUUAUUGUACAGUUUUGAUACAAUAAAGCCUUUGUGAUAAAUGUGACCAAUGAUGUACCUCAUUUAAACAAAUUACAUAUUUUAUCUUUCAUUCAUCAACCAUACAAAUUGAUAUUAUCAAAACUUUUGGUUUUAUUGUGAAAACUGGCUCACCAUAUACUUAGAUUUGUGCAAAUCAUAGAAUAACCAUUGAUUGAUAUAUGAGCUGUUUUCAGGUAAAAUUUCUUAGCUGUUGAAAUCAACAUAAAAGUGAAUCCGAUGACUGGUUCCCACAGGAGCAUUUCAAUGUUAGCAGGUUUCAGUUUAAAACAAGAACUAUCUUUAAAAAAGAUAUCCGACGUAUUUAAAUUUGAGUAUUUAGGUUUAAAACUAUCAUUUCGAUAACCUUCAGAAGCACAAAUAUACCAUUUAAAUUACGUUUUCUCUGUUUGUGUUCAGUAUUCUCGGUCCUCGUAUCUUUCUGUUGUUUACAUUCACCAAAACCCCGCGGAAAUCUCACAUUCAAAGGUGCGUUCUAAAAGUCAUGUACGUUCGUACAACAAAGUUUACAUUAAAAUUAUAUAAUUGUCCCGAAUAAACAGCUGUCACGGAUGCAAAGAGCUAUUGGAGAAAUAAUUAUUUUAAUAAAAAAAUAUAAAAUAUAAAUAUUUGUAAGAUCUAGUUCAAAUAUUUAUAGUUUUUCACUUGCUUUCCAUCACGAUAUGAUUAACGAGACGUUUUUUCAAACACAACCAAAUCGCCCACCAUGACAGCAUUUUGUCCAAUCACAGAAAGGAUUUUCGAGUGCAUAUUCUGUUGCCAUAGUUAAGCGUCCUUAAGUUCAAAGGACACAAACCGAAACUAAUACCGACUACGUCGGAAAAAUCUUUGGUAUCACUUCAAUACUGUGAAUUCAAUUCUAUUCUAGGAGUACCAAUUUUUAUGGAUUCAUGGGUAUAGGUAAACCACAAAUUAAAAUUUUAAAAUUAUAAAUUUUUUAUCAGCUGAUCACCAAACUGUGGCAAAACCAUGAAAUCAAAUAUCUACUAAGAUGCAAUUCUUCCUCAUCCACAAAAGUUGGUACUAACAAAAAUAAAUGAAUUCACAGUAGAUUUGCUUAGUCAGAAGAUAUUAGGCAUAUGGUAUGUUAGUUACCACAAUUAUAUCAAGUUUCACAUAUUAUAUAUACAAGUAUGUAUAUUUUAUCUUGAAUAAUUUUGAUAUUUUAGAGUAUAUAUGUGAAAUUUUUACCAAGUUUUCAGUAGAGAAAUCAAAUUUAAAUAUGCUUAUAUUAAACUGCUUUGAUUUUUUAUACGACCGCAAAAAUUUUAAUUGUAUUGCUAUCACGUUGGCGUCGUCGUCGUCCGAAUACUUUUAGUUUUCGCACUCUAACUUUAGUAAAAGGGAAUAGAAAUGAAUGAAAUUUUAACACAAGGUUUAUGACCACAAAAGGAAGGUUGGGAUUGAUUUUGGGAGUUUUGGUCCCAACAUUUUAGGAAUUAGGGGCCAAAAAGGGCCCAAAUAAGCAUUUUCUUGGUUUUCGCACUAUAACUUUAGUUUAAGUGAAUAGAAAUCUAUGAAAUUUUGACACAAGGUUUAUGACCACAAAAGGAAGGUUGGGUUUGAUUUUGGGAGUUUUGGUCCUAACAGUUUAGGAAUAAGGGGCCCAAAGGGUCCAAAAUUGAACUUUGUGUGAUUUCAUCAAAAAUUAAAUAAUUGGGGUUCUUUGAUAUGCCGAAUCUAACUAUGUAUGUAGAUUCUUAAUUUUUGGUCCAGUUUUCUAAUUGGUCUACAUUAAGGUCCAAAGGGUCCAAAAUUAAACUUAGUUUGAUUUUAACAAAAAUUGAAUCCUUGGGGUUCUUUGAUAUGCUGAAUUUAAAAAUGUACUUAGAUUUUAAUUAUUGGCCUAGUUUUCAAGUUGGUCCAAAUGGGGGUCCAAAAUUAAACUUUGUUUGAUUUCAUCAAAAAUUGAAUAAAUGGGUUCUUUGAUAUGCCAAAUCUAACUGUGUAUGUAGAUUCUUAAUUUUGGUCCAGUUUUCAAAUUGGUCUACAUUAAGGUCCAAAGGGUCCAAAAUUAAACUAAGUUUGAUUUUAACAAAAAUUAAAUUCUUGGGCUUAUUUGAUAUGCUUUAUCUAAAUAUGUACUUUGAUUUUUGAUUAUGGGUCCAGUUUUCAAGUUGGUCCAAAUCAGGAUUCCAUAUCAAGUAUUGUGCAAUAGCAAGAAAUUUUCAAUUGCACAGUAUUGCACAAUAGCAAGAAAUUUAAUUGCACAAUAUUGUGCAAUAGCAAUUAAUUUUCAAUUGGAGUUAUCUUUCUUUGUAUAGAAUAGUAGUUGAUAAUAUAUGCUGGAAAUUUGCCAGACAUGACUAUGAUGUCAUUUCUAUUUUUAUUUGCCAACAACUUUAUGUAAAUAACUUCAUUGGAAAUUUUUGCCAAUAUAAAUGUUGCUGAUGAAGUUUUUUUUUAUUGUUUUAUACAAUAAACAAUGUAUAUUCACUUUUACUACCAACCAAUCUUUACCAUUCAGUGAUAACAAGCACUUUAUUUUACAUUUUAAUAUUUUAUGAUGUAUUUAAAAGAGUAGUUAUUGUUGCAAACUCCAUUAGAAAUUUGAAUUGAUAUCAGUUUUGGAAAAAGGAAAACGGGGAUGUGAAAAAAAAGGGGGAGGGGGGGUAAAUUUUUCUCAUUUCAGAUUUCAUAAAUAAAAAGAAAAUUUCUUCAAACAUUUUUUGAGAGGAUUAAUAUUCAACAGCAUAGUGAAUUGCUCAUAGGCAAAAAAAAAAUUUUAAGUUCAUUAGACCACAUUCAUUCUGUGUCAGAAACCUAUGCUGUGUCAACUAUUUAAUUUUAGAUUUAAAAAGUUUGAAGAAGAAAUCUUUAAUUGAUUUGUAAAAUCUUGACAUUUGUUUUGUGUAAAAAAAAACCAUGUAAUGUCAAAAAUUUGAUCACAAUCCAAAUUCAGAGCUGUAUCACGCUUGAAUGUUUUGUCCAUACUUGCCCCAACUGUUCAGGGUUCGACCUCUGCGGUCGUAUAAAGCUGCGCCCUGCGGAGCACCUGGUUUACAUUUAGAAAAAAAUGCUGAUUACUUAAAAGUAAUGAAAAGGUUCUCUUCCGAAAUAAGUAAGAAGAUUUAGAAGUGAAUACGGUUUCCUCAAUUUUACUGUAUUUGUGUUAUUUGGCAGUGAGCAUCGUAAAUUAUUUUUUGAUAUGUUUUUAAAUAAAACCAAGAUGUGUUAAUUUAUGCAUACAUGUGUCAAAGCAAGGGUUUGUUUUUUAAAGGACAACUUUCAUUUUAACUGACAAUUAUGAAGUCAAUGUCAGUGUUAUGUAAUUGUCCGAUCAGCUUUUUCAAUAUGUAAGAACAAUUUUAUGUACUUAAAUUUUGAAGUGUCUUGGUAUGGCAUUCUGUGUUGCAUAAGAAGUGCUAAAGGACUGGGAUGACUAUUUAUCAUUCUGUUUAUAAUUCAAUGAUUAUGUUUAGAUUAUAUUGUUAAAGCUUGA